rnacentral:rRNA from 1 species
UACGUAGGGGGCAAGCGUUGUCCGGAUUUAUUGGGCGUAAAGAGCGUGUAGGCGGUUUUGCAAGCCGGAUGUGAAAUCCCCGGGCUCAACCUGGGAAUGGCAUUCGGGACUGCAAGGCUGGAGUGCGGCAGAGGAGACUGGAAUUCCUGGUGUAGCAGUGAAAUGCGUAGAUAUUCGGAAGAACACCAGUGGCGAAGGCGACUUACUGGACACAUAUUGACGCUGAGGUGCGAAAGCGUGGGGAGCAAACAGG